CCUACGGGAGGCAGCAGUGAGGAAUAUUGGUCAAUGGGCGCAAGCCUGAACCAGCCAAGUAGCGUGCAGGAUGACGGCCCUACGGAUUGUAAACUUCUUUUAUCAAGGAAUAAAAUGAGGCUCGUGAGCCUUUUUGUAGGUACUUUAUGAAAAAGGAUCGGCUAACUCCGUGCCAGCAGCCGCGGUAAUACGGAGGAUCCGAGCGUUAUCCGGAUUUAUUGGGUUUAAAGGGAGCGUAGAUGGGUUGUUAAGUCAGGUGUGAAAGUUUGCGGCUCAACCGCAGAAGUGCAAUUGAUACUGGCAGCCUUGAGUGCAGAUGAGGUAGGCGGAAUUCGUGGUGUAGCGGUGAAAUGCUUAGAUAUCACGAAGAACUCCGAUUGCGAAGGCAGCCGACUGGACUGCAACUGACGCUGAGGCUCGAAAGUGUGGGUAUCAAACAGGAUUAGAUACCCUAGUAGUC
rnacentral:rRNA from 1 species